rnacentral:rRNA from 1 species
CGGACGGGUGAGUAAUGCCUAGGAAUCUGCCUGGUAGUGGGGGAUAACGUUCGGAAACGGACGCUAAUACCGCAUACGUCCUACGGGAGAAAGCAGGGGACCUUCGGGCCUUGCGCUAUCAGAUGAGCCUAGGUCGGAUUAGCUAGUUGGUGAGGUAAUGGCUCACCAAGGCGACGAUCCGUAACUGGUCUGAGAGGAUGAUCAGUCACACUGGAACUGAGACACGGUCCAGACUCCUACGGGAGGCAGCAGUGGGGAAUAUUGGACAAUGGGCGAAAGCCUGAUCCAGCCAUGCCGCGUGUGUGAAGAAGGUCUUCGGAUUGUAAAGCACUUUAAGUUGGGAGGAAGGGUUGUAGAUUAAUACUCUGCAAUUUUGACGUUACCGACAGAAUAAGCACCGGCUAACUCUGUGCCAGCAGCCGCGGUAAUACAGAGGGUGCAAGCGUUAAUCGGAAUUACUGGGCGUAAAGCGCGCGUAGGUGGUUUGUUAAGUUGGAUGUGAAAUCCCCGGGCUCAACCUGGGAACUGCAUUCAAAACUGACUGACUAGAGUAUGGUAGAGGGUGGUGGAAUUUCCUGUGUAGCGGUGAAAUGCGUAGAUAUAGGAAGGAACACCAGUGGCGAAGGCGACCACCUGGACUAAUACUGACACUGAGGUGCGAAAGCGUGGGGAGCAAACAGGAUUAGAUACCCUGGUAGUCCACGCCGUAAACGAUGUCAACUAGCCGUU